AUGAUUCAUCUGGGAGUCUGGAGAGAAAAAGCAGAAACCAAGUUGAGCUUCACAGAGAUCCUGACCCUUUUAGACGAGGAGAUGAGAGUAGGCAAAAGGAGAAAACAAAUGAGACGCGGGAAGGAAGAAGGAAAGAAGAAGGCAAAGCCUCUUAGCCUGGACAGGAACGUGAGCAGGAGACGUAGUUCUCAGGGCAUCUGUUACAAAUGUAGAGAAAGCCCUGGAUAUGGGCCGUGUCUCAUUUCCUUGCAGAAACCCCUCCUCUCUGAAAUGCAGUGGAAUGUAAGAAUUGCCCAUCUCAAGACCUCCGCGUCCUUCUGUAACAUCCCCGCUGGAGACGCUGCUCACUGUGUGACCUCAUGUCCGUUACGUAAAGACCCACUUGAUAAAUUUCUCCUUGAACACAGUGCCAGGAAAAUUUUCUUUUUCCAAUCUGAUUCCAGAGUUAUUGUACAAUGAAAAGUACACGAGCCAGAGUGUUUUGCUUUUAUCCAGGAAACUCAGCGAUAAAUCCAGGGUUUAACUGUAGUAAACAACUCAUCCCAGGUGCCUUGACACAGAUCGUUCUCUUUUUACUCUAGCUCCUUGGUCUUUGAGUUGCGUUCUGUUUUUAAUGUUUCCUUAGACUCCUUUGGGAAAUAGUAAGGUGUAAAUUUUCCCCAAAUAAGUCCAUGCAUGCAAACACAUAUACAUGAGAUAGAUGGCCUCUUCCUGUUCCUUUGUUACCAUCGCCACUGCUAUGUCCCCAGCCCAAGCUAAAUGCCAGACACUGGGAAUGCAGCGUUGAAAGGUGCUGCCUGUGAAUGACUCAUGGUUACUCUAUUGCAGGGAUAAGCUGGCGCACAAAAACGCGAAUGUAAGGGGGGAUAGGGUCAGUGCUCACACCAGGGAACAAAGGAAAGGCUAGCGGGGUCCAGAAGGAGGGCAAUUGAUUCUGGAAAGAGACAUCAGAAUGUGGAAACCUUCUUGGAUGGAAGGGAAUUUCAGCUGGACUGGGACGGAUGGAAAGGAUUUUGAAGGCAGAGGUAGAGGAGGAACAUCUCUGACAGAGAAAACAGUUUGAAUGAAGACUUGCACAGGAAAAAAAUAAAUCGCCCUCCACGUUUGGCAAAAACACUAGGAACUGAGUGGGUUGGCAGGUAGGAUACAUGAAGGAAUCAGUGGGAGCUGAGGAUAAGAUUCUUUCACAUGAUACACACUUUGUAAUUUAUAAACAGAAUUUGGGUUCAAGCCUGUAGUCCCAGCUACCCAGAGGCUGAGGGAGGAGGAUUGCUUGAGCCUAGGAGUUCAAGACCAGCCUGGGCCACAGAGCCAGACCCCAUUUCUUAAAAAAAAAAAAAAAAAAAUAGAACUGGGUUCAAUAUAUUCUUUUGUUCAACACCCCUGUGAAGUGUGGCAGGGGAGGUACAUUUCCUGUAAUGGAUCAGUAACCCGCUUACAGGGCAGUUAAUUCAUUCUAAGUGACACAGCCUGUAAGGGGAAACCCGCUGCCAAAUUUCCUACUCAUUUUACUCCAUGAAGUUUCAUCUCUGGAAACGAAGAAGAGGUUUGCAGGGCCAAGCUAGUUGAAACUCACCUUGGACUAAGAAUCAAAGCUUUUUCUUUCUUUCUUUCUUUCUUUUUCUUAAGAGGUGGGUGGGGGUGUUGACAAAGAGGAAAGGGAGGAACCCGCAAACGUAAUUUCAGCCGCAGUUCCCUUAACAACGCCUGCAGAUGGAUGAAUUUCCGCACAGUCCGGCUCUCUGUUCCUUUUCUGUUCCUGAAGAGAAACAAUGAGGGAGCGAGGGAUCCGCAGUGAUGUUUAUCUUUCCAGCUCUGAACUUUCAAAUUCUGGAAUCCCCCAGGGUUGGGGAAGGGUGGGCGCAGUCACUUCCCACCGUUGCGGAGGGAUGGGAGAUGUAGCCGCUCCUGUUGGGGCAUAGGGCGGGGUGUGUGAUUUCCUCCCAAAUCGGAAAUUUAUCUCCCGAAUGGGAGGCUGCAGAGAGUCAUCAAGGACUUAUCUCCAGGAGCAGACACCAGGGAGGAGCCCUGCCCAAUCCUUUACCCCAAAGGGGGCGUGCUUAGCCCGAGGAGGGAGAAGAGGGUCGCCAGCUAAGAGUCAGCACCAAGGGCACCCGCUCUCAUUCAUGUGUCAGUGAAGAAUUCCUGCCAGACUUCCAGUGCUGACCCGACCCUGGGCAGGAUCCCAGCUGCCCCUCCCAGAACACUCCAUGCCGCUGGAACUCAGGAGCACAGGUCACUUCUCUAAUUGAAAGCAAAGGGGAAUUUUGGUCCUUUCCUUGGGAUUGAGUCCAGAAUUCUGGGAUGAACAGCUCAGCUCCUAGAAAUUAUGCUCUGGAAUUUCCAAAAGCUCAACAAAUAGCCCCAACCUGCAGGGUUGUUUAUUGGGAUGAAGCAUCCUUUUACUACCCGAAGAACAUUACAACAGGAAGGAAGUCCUAUCCGCUUUUUAUAGAUGAGAGGCUAAAUACAUAUUCAAGCAUAUUAAUUAUAGUAUUUAAAUUUUCUAAGUCCUUAUUUUAUUUUAAAUCUGUCUUAUUAGACCUGAAGAUAGGCACACCUUCCUCUUGUUAUCUUCCUCCUCAUGUAUAUUCCCAAAGGUUUUUCCCUGUAUUUAUACAAGUCAUUAGCUUCUGUCCAUUUAUUUCA
ensembl:lincRNA